AUAAUACUCCAUAGAUUAGAGACACUGGAAUGUUCUUUAGUCGAAAGUUCUGGCGCCUUAGGAUGGAUCUGCGGUCGACUAGGUUGUUGUUGGGGUAACGGCCCAACAAGCCUGUAAUCGAUACGGGUUGUGGGAGCAAGAGCCCGGAGAUGGAAUCUGAGACACGAUUCCAGGCCCUACGGGGCGCAGCAGGCGCGAAAACUUUACAAUGCAGGAAACUGUGAUAAGGGAACUCCGAGUGCCCGUAUACGCGGGCUGUCCAGGUGUUUAAAAAUCAUCUGAAGAAAGGGCCGGGCAAGACCGGUGCCAGCCGCCGCGGUAAUACCGGCGGCUCGAGUGGUGGCCACUAUUAUUGGGCUUAAAGCGUCCGUAGCUGGACCGAUAAGUCUCUUGGGAAAUCCGCCGGCUCAACCGGCGGGCGUCUAAGGGAUACUGUUAGUCUAAGGACCGGGAAAGGUGAGAGGUACUCCGGGGGUAAGAGUGAAAUCCUGUAAUCCCCGGGGGACCACCGAUGGCGAAGGCAUCUCACCAGAACGGCUCCGACAGUGAGGGACGAAAGCUGGGGGAGCGAACCGGAUUAGAAUACCGGGUAAUCCCAGUCGUAAACUAUGCGCGUUAAGUGU
rnacentral:rRNA from 1 species